rnacentral:rRNA from 1 species
UACGGGGGGGGGCACGCGUUGUUCGGAAUUACUGGGCGUAAAGGGCUCGUAGGCGGCCAACUAAGUCAGACGUGAAAUCCCUCGGCUUAACCGGGGAACUGCGUCUGAUACUGGAUGGCUAGAGGUUGGGAGAGGGAUGCGGAAUUCCAGGUGUAGCGGUGAAAUGCGUAGAUAUCUGGAGGAACACCGGUGGCGAAGGCGGCAUCCUGGACCAAUUCUGACGCUGAGGAGCGAAAGCCAGGGGAGCAAACGGG